AGAGUUUGAUCCUGGCUCAGAACGAACGCUGGCGGCGUGGAUAAGACAUGCAAGUCGAACGAGAGAAUUGCUAGCUUGCUAAUAAUUCUCUAGUGGCGCACGGGUGAGUAACACGUGAGUAACCUGCCCCCGAGAGCGGGAUAGCCCUGGGAAACUGGGAUUAAUACCGCAUAGUAUCGAAAGAUUAAAGCAGCAAUGCGCUUGGGGAUGGGCUCGCGGCCUAUUAGUUAGUUGGUGAGGUAACGGCUCACCAAGGCGAUGACGGGUAGCCGGUCUGAGAGGAUGUCCGGCCACACUGGAACUGAGACACGGUCCAGACACCUACGGGUGGCAGCAGUCGAGAAUCAUUCACAAUGGGGGAAACCCUGAUGGUGCGACGCCGCGUGGGGGAAUGAAGGUCUUCGGAUUGUAAACCCCUGUCAUGUGGGAGCAAAUUAAAAAGAUAGUACCACAAGAGGAAGAGACGGCUAACUCUGUGCCAGCAGCCGCGGUAAUACAGAGGUCUCAAGCGUUGUUCGGAAUCACUGGGCGUAAAGCGUGCGUAGGCUGUUUCGUAAGUCGUGUGUGAAAGGCGCGGGCUCAACCCGCGGACGGCACAUGAUACUGCGAGACUAGAGUAAUGGAGGGGGAACCGGAAUUCUCGGUGUAGCAGUGAAAUGCGUAGAUAUCGAGAGGAACACUCGUGGCGAAGGCGGGUUCCUGGACAUUAACUGACGCUGAGGCACGAAGGCCAGGGGAGCGAAAGGGAUUAGAUACCCCUGUAGUCCUGGCAGUAAACGGUGCACGCAAGGUGUGCGGGGAAUCGACCCCCCGCCGGGCCGGAGCUAACGCGUUAAGCCGUCCCGCCCGGGGAGUACGGUCGCAAGAUAAAAAUUCAAAGAAAUUGACGGGGACCCGCACAAGCGGUGGAGUAUGUGGGCUUAAUUCGAUGCAACGCGAAGAACCUUACCUGGGCUUGACAUGUAAUGAACAACAAAAGAAAGCAUGCGACUCUUCGGAGGCGUUACACAGGUGCUGCAUGGCCGUUGUCAGCUCGUGUCGUGAGAUGUUUGGUUAAGUCCAGCAACGAGCGCAACCCCUGUUGCCAGUUACUAGCACGUGAAGGUGGGGACUCUGGCGAGACUGCCCAGAUCAACUGGGAGGAAGGUGGGGACGACGUCAGGUCAGUAUGGCCCUUAUGCCCAGGGCUGCACACGUACUACAAUGCCCAGUACAGAGGGGGCCGAAGCCGCGAGGCGGAGGAAAUCCUAAAAACUGGGCCCAGUUCGGACUGUAGGCUGCAACCCGCCUACACGAAGCCGGAAUCGCUAGUAAUGGCGCAUCAGCUACGGCGCCGUGAAUACGUUCCCGGGUCUUGCACACACCGCCCGUCA
rnacentral:rRNA from 1 species